CCUACGGGCGGCAGCAGUGGGGAAUAUUGCGCAAUGGGCGAAAGCCUGACGCAGCGAAGCCGCGUGAGGGAUGAAGGUAUUCGGAUCGUAAACCCCUGUCAGCAGGGAAGCAAGGUCACUGUGCUAAUCAGCAGUGAAUUGACGGUAACUGCAAAGAAAGCACCGGCUAACUCCGUGCCAGCAGCUGCAGUAAUACGGAGGGUGCGAGCGUUAAUCGGAAUUACUGGGCGUAAAGCGAUCGUAGGCGGUAUGUCAAGUCAAGGGUGAAAUCCCCGCGCUCAACGUGGGAACUGCCUUUGAAACUGGCAGACUGGAGUGUGUGAGAGGAUAGUGGAAUUCCAGGUGUAGGAGUGAAAUCCGUAGAUAUCUGGAGGAACAUCAGUGGCGAAGGCGACUAUCUGGCACAUAACUGACGCUGAGGAGCGAAAGCGUGGGUAGCAAACAGGAUUAGAUACCCGGGUAGUC
rnacentral:rRNA from 1 species